rnacentral:lncRNA from 1 species
GUUACUGGUUAGUUCAUUGUUGUUCCUCCUAUAGGCAGAGCGAAUUUUCUAAAGUUUUUUUUUCUCUUCCUUUAUAGUGGUAAUUAUACUAUAGUUUUUUUUUUUUUUUCCUAACAAAACUUUAUUACAUUUAUGUUAGGUCUCAGACCUGGGGCAAAUGGCUAACUGGGGUGCCUAUUAACAUAUCAGAGCAGACACUGUCGGCCAGUCUCUUACUAUCUCCAGUACCUGGAAUACUCCACCCCUACCCUAAGCAUGCCCAGCUCAGGGACUGGGCUAGGGUGUCCUUCCUGAGGCUGCUCUUUCCUCUAUAACCAAGACUUUUUGGCUCCAAGGUCCCUUUGACCCUUUUUGGGCCUCUUGCCCUCUGGGCCUCUGCUCCUGGUUCCCACCUGCCUCUCCCUGUACUCCUGUAUUCCUCACAUGGCCCUGUUCAGUUGGCCAGUCCUGUUCAGUCUGGAAUCUUCCAGAUGCCCCUGGCUAUGCUUUCCCUCAUAAAAUAAAAUUCCUCCUCGGCCACACCUGGGAGCAGUCAUGUCCUUCCUUUUCUUUGUCUUUUGUUUUCAUUCAAUUUAUAAUGUAUUUCAUCGGGCUGUGGGAUAUAUGGUAUGAUAAACUGUUAGCUAAUUAUACCUCAGCAAAAAGUAUUUUAGGAUUUUUUUUUGUCCCUAAAGAAUUACCUUAAAAAAGAAUAUAUACAAUUUGGGAUGUUGGAAAUAUAAAAUAACAUUAGGAAAAAAAAUCUGGAGGCCCAGUGAGUUGUUUGGGAAGGAAAGUGUUAUUGUUUUAAGUUCAGGUGAAAGGGGCCUGUGAAUUAAGCUAACAGAAGACCGGUUAAUGGGGGAAACGGCAUGUGACUCACUAACAUUAAUGUGUAUGGUAGUUCAUAGCGAAGUGAACUAGGAGAAGCAGUAGGAGUUUAUUGUCUGUUAUAAAGGAAGGAAGGAAGAGGGUUUGAGGUCAAAGGAAGAAUACAUUUGGGAAAAGAGAAAAUGUGAGUGGGGACCAGUGAACAAGAAUGUUCAUUGAGGUCUACUUACACACACACUCACAUACCCCCCACCCCCACACACAUAUGUGCAUACACGCACACAGACACUCACACACACUUACACACACACAUGUCCACAUACACAAACACACAUGCACAUGUACAUUCACACACGUGCACAUACACACACACACACACACACACACACGUACACACAUGUACACACAUGGACACACACACAUCUGGGUUCAUCAUUACCUUCAAUAAGAUUUCCAGGGAGAUGAGGAGGAUACUAAGACCUUGUCCCAAAUAUUUUCCCUUCCCCCACCCUACAUACUUUUGAUUCUAUGUUGUUAUCAUCUCAAAAUAACGCUCUUGCCAAAAUGACACUUUGAGACAGCUGUUGAGGGGCAAGUGUGUUUUGUACUAUAGUUUUGAGUAAGAACUUCCAUGGAAGGCUAGACAAGCCUGAUUCUCCAGAUAAUGUCCUCAGGUGCUCAAAGGAGGCCAUGGGGCUUUUAGCUGCCCUCUCUGCUCCAGCAACCUCUCUUGGGGGCAAGGGGGCUGUGACAUCAUGAUCGGCCAUCAUGACGCACAGCUUGUUCCCUGUCAGGGCUGUUAACAUUGAAUUAGUAAAGGCAGGUCCAUUAGACCCUUACCUGAGAGACCAGUCAGCCACAGGGUCUCCUGUCUGCUGCCCCCACAAGCACCACGUGGUCUUAGGGGCGGAGCUGGAAUAUUUAGGAGGUGGAAGGUGACUUGGAAGGGGUUGGAUCUCUUCAAUGAUACAGCUUUCAUGCCUUGUCACCCAGCUCUGUGGGACUCUGAUGCAGCUGCCUACGAGACACCCCUUCCUGAAACUUUAUGUGUUCCAGGAAAAGCUAUUGGCAUCUAAACAGGGACUCAUCCAAGACGGGCCCUGCUGUGGGUGACAAGAAAGGCAACCGAGGCUGAGCUAGCUAUUUCAGGGUGAAGCGUCUGCAGCAGAAUCCCCACAGCUCUGCUUCCCUAUGCUUCAAGGGAUGGACUACAUCCUUGCUGGGGUGCCAGUGGCCUACAUACCCUAGCUGAGCCGGCUGCCCAGUGGGGACUGGCUAGGGAGAUGUGUCCUCUGUGUAACCUUGGAGUUGACAGGAAAAGUGAGGCCUGGGGAGAAUGAGAUGGGGCUUGCUAUUUCUCGUGGCCACUGAAGGAGCAGAAGGAAAAGUUGUAGUUGCAAACUACAACUGCAGUAACGUGCUCAUCAGAUCCAAGUGAGGAGAACCCGGUAUGGGGAAAGGGGAAGAACAAGGUACAAUGGAUAAUGAAUGAGGAAGUGAUGUAUGGAACGGUUUACACUUGAUCCCCAGAGCUCAGGCCAGAUUCUGAUCAUUAAGAGUUAAGGAAAAUGUUCCUUCACCAGGGACCAUUUCUGAGCUCAGCAAACCUUCCCAGCAGGACCUGAUCUCUCCAAGACAGGCGCUCCAGUGGAUCUGAGUUAGAUCGGUGUAUAGAUCAGAGUUCCUAAGAAGCAAUGGACAAAGACCCAGAGUCUGUGCUGGGGGCCUUGGAAGGCUCUAAACCCUGAGCAGCAGUUUACAGAAGAGGCGAACAAUAUGGAUAUGGAGACAAUCUCUUAGGAGACUUGGGAGUGCUCUCCUGUAGGAUCCAAGACUUCUCAUCUUUCCGAUGCGAACUGAAUUAUGCUAGCAUGUCAACCAGGACAUUUCAGAGAAGCAUCGAACAGAAACGUGUUAGUAAACCUCUUACCAGAACACCCUCACUAUCGAUUUUUUUUUGUCACUAAAACACAAACCAGCAUGGGACAUUAAACAGGACCUUUGGUAUUUGGUGUUGGGAAAAUGCCCCCUUGGAUCUAGAGCUCUUUAGGAGUAAUGGCUUCCCGAAAAGAACUAUAGAGAAAAAGAAGGCAGAAUAACCCAGGUGCCUGAGCAUCUUUGAGGAGGUAAGGAAAACUCUUUACUCUUUGCUGUUUGUGAGCUCUGAAUCACCAAUUGUUUGCUAGUCAGGCUUCCCCAUUUGCCAGGAAGGAUCAAUAAUGUAAUUGGAAUGACCCUGCACUCAACUGUCCCUGCCUUCUGAUGCCCGCCUCCCCUCUCUGAUCAGAAGGCCUCCUCACUGGGGACACUGAAAGCUGAAUAGUUCAGGGACAGAGCGAGGCAUUACUGCAUUCCUGUCCAGUGAAAGGCAGACUCUCUGGAGAGCCUUUCCUCUGUUUUGUUUUGUGUGUUUUCAAGGAGUCUGGAGAGGGUGUUUAUGUCGUGGUGCACGUUCCCCAUUUGGCAUCUCGAUGGCGAAGCAGAGAGCUUUCUUGUUGUCCAUGUCCUCUGUGAUUUGAACUUGUGAUGAUUCUUCAGCUAGCUCUGUCCUUCAUCUAGAAAAUUAGUGUUGCAUUAUGAAGCCCAAAAGAGUUUUCCUAGCCACCACAUAGCAGUACGUAUAAUAACUUAAAUGUUCUACAGAAAAGGCAUUCCCCCAGCGUGGGUGAGUGGAAGAAUAGGCUCAUCAAGUUGUUCAGGCUUUGCAGAUUAGAGUUCCAGUUUCGUGAAAUCUCCCAUGGUUCAUACCUGGAAUCAGCUCCAAAACAUUUUCGAAAUUGGAACACUGAGCAUUCUCUAUGGGCUUGCAGUCAUUUCAAAAUAAUAUCCCUUAAUUAUGUGUCAUGGAUUGUUUGAUGAGUAUCUGCUGGGUUUGGCAUAUGUCAUUAGCCAUGAACAAUUGUACCUGGCUGUUUUUAAUUAUACCAGCUUUAUGCUUACAGUAGCCAUGGGAGGAAAACAAAAGAUUUUGCUGAGCGGGAGCAUUUUGCUUUUUAAAAAAUAUUUAUUUUGUUUUUGAUGCUCCUGCAGCCAAUCCACUCUUGCUAGGCAGUCCACUCUUCAGUUCAGUAUGGCCUUGAACUCAUGUCCCCCUGCCUUAGACUUUAGGGUGCUUGGGUCACACAUAUCUCCCUUUAAAGUUUUAUCUAUCUAUCUAUCUAUCUAUCUAUCUAUCUAUCUAUCUAUCUAUCUAUCUAUCUAUCUAUCUAUCUAUCUAUCUAUCAUACCUAUCUAUCUAUCUAUCUAUCUAUCUAUCUAUCUAUCUAUCCAACAUCUAUCUAUAUCUUAUCUAUCCCUAUCUACCUAUCUAUUUAUCUACCUAUUAUCUAUCAUCUAUCUACCUAUGCCCCCUCCUCCCCCUGAAAGAUUUUUUUCUUCUACAGCAGGCUAUGCUGCUCAGUCUAAUCCCCUACUUCUGCAUUUCCCCAUCCCUGGCUGCUGUUACUUUCUCCAUGAAAAAUUGUGAAAGGUCUAAGCCAAUUAAGAUCAUUUGAUUUCCUCGUCAGCAAUUGGUUCAAAGAUGUCCAUGUGACACAGUUCUACCCAAUGAGAUGUGAAAGAAGCUUGUCUGGCAUGUUUCUGGGAAUGGCUUCUUGGCUGAUGGAACUAGGUCCUUAGAAAAAUGAUCUCAGCCAGGCAGGCUGUGGUGGCACACUCCUCUAAUCUCACUGGGAGUGAGGGAGGUGGGAGAGGGGCAAGGGGCGAGGGGCAAGGGGCGAGGUGCAAGGGGCGAGGGGAGGAGAGGAUAGAGGGGAGAGGGGACAGGGGAGAGGGAGAGGGAGAGGGAGAGGGAGAGACUCUGCAUUUCCCACCCAAUAUCAAUCAGUACUGUCGAGGUCUAUGACAGUACUAACUGAGAGACUUAGCUUCUGAGAGGAACUAGUUGGUGACUACAGAGGGUACAGCUGAAAGAAGGACUCAACCGGGGUCUUUGGUCCUCCUUAG